AAAAUUACUCUAAACGGUCCCUGUAGAGGCGCUGAUCGUUGAAUCGCCAAUUGGCAUGGCGGGUGGUGGCGCGGGAAAGGGAGUGGCAGAACUUUUUACCGGAUCCCCAACGUCUGUGCCCAGUGCCCACCAGUUGUUCAUCCUGUAGUUCCGGUGUCCAUUUUAGCAAAAUUGCCAAAAUUCAACUCAACUGUAAGAAUUUAGUGUUCGUUUGAUUUAAUCAUUCUAUUUAAUUUACCAGCUACGGCGGCUACCGCAACCGCUCCCACUUUAGUGAAGAAAAAGUGUAUGUAAGAUAAAAUGAGGAACUGGAAUAAUUUUGAUAGAUUAAGCCGACUAUUGUAUUACACCACAAUGCCAUUUUCCGUUGUAAUUGGUAGCCAUUACUUGUUCAAAAUAUUCACCUUGAAUAAAACAUUGGAAAUAGAAAUUCGUAGAGCUGAGGAAAAAUUACGUCGAGCAGAGGCUUACUUAAAAACGUGAAGAUGAAGAGGACCGAAAAACGAAUGCUCCAAAGCCAAACAGAAAUAAGGAAAAUGAAGUCUCACUCGAAUUGUACCAAUUUAUUUAUGUAUAUGUAUUGGGUGAUAGAUUCGAACAAUGACGAUUUUGAAUCAAAAUAUCGAAAAUAUAGUCGAGUUCAAUUUUC